rnacentral:lncRNA from 1 species
GGCAUAGAUCGAACCAAUUAACAUCUUCUUCUCCUUUCUGCUGCGGACAUGGUCUUCUUCUCCUUUUUGUUCUUCUUCAAAUUUGUCUUGUUCUAUUUCUUGUGUUGUUCUUUACCGUUUGUGUUUUUGGGUUUGUCUGUUGGCAGUAGGGUGGUGGUUCAUCUUUGGCGAGUUGGUGUUCCCUCAUUCGCAGUUGGUUGGCGAAGUGAUUCGUUGUUCGUGG